UCCGGCUUAUCACCGGCAGUCAUCUUAGAGUGCCCACCUUGCGUGCUGGCAACUAAGAUCAAGGGUUGCGCUCGUUGCGGGACUUAACCCAACAUCUCACGACACGAGCUGACGACAACCAUGCACCACCUGUCUCCUCUGCCCCGAAGGGAAGCUCGAUCUCUCGAGCGGUCAAAGGGAUGUCAAGACCUGGUAAGGUUCUUCGCGUUGCUUCGAAUUAAACCACAUACUCCACUGCUUGUGCGGGUCCCCGUCAAUUCCUUUGAGUUUCAGUCUUGCGACCGUACUCCCCAGGCGGAAUGCUUAAUGUGUUAACUUCGGCACCAAGGGUAUCGAAACCCCUAACACCUAGCAUUCAUCGUUUACGGCGUGGACUAC
rnacentral:misc_RNA from 1 species